UACGAAGGGGGCUAGCGUUGCUCGGAAUCACUGGGCGUAAAGGGUGCGUAGGCGGGUCUUUUAAGUCAGGGGUGAAAUCCUGGAGCUCAACUCCAGAACUGCCUUUGAUACUGAAGAUCUUGAGUUCGGGAGAGGUGAGUGGAACUGCGAGUGUAGAGGUGAAAUUCGUAGAUAUUCGGCGGAACACCAGUGGCGAAGGCGACUCACUGGCCCGAUACUGACGCUGAGGCGCGAAAGCGUGGGGAGCAAACAGGG
rnacentral:rRNA from 1 species